GACGAACGCUGGCGGCGUGCUUAACACAUGCAAGUCGAACGAUGAAGCUGGAGCUUGCUCCGGUGGAUUAGUGGCGAACGGGUGAGUAACACGUGAGAAAUCUGCCCUUGACUCUGGGAUAACUGCGGGAAACUGUAGCUAAUACCGGAUAUUUUCCUUGGUGGGCAUCCACUGGGGAAGAAAGAAUUUCGGUCAAGGAUGAUCUCGCGGCCUAUCAGCUAGUUGGUGAGGUAAUGGCUCACCAAGGCGACGACGGGUAGCCGGCCUAAGAGGGUGACCGGCCACACUGGGACUGAGACACGGCCCAGACUCCUACGGGAGGCAGCAGUGGGGAAUAUUGCACAAUGGGCGCAAGCCUGAUGCAGCAACGCCGCGUGAGGGAUGAAGGCCUUCGGGUUGUAAACCUCUUUUAGCAGGGAAGAAGCGAAAGUGACGGUACCUGCAGAAAAAGCACCGGCUAACUACGUGCCAGCAGCCGCCGUAA
rnacentral:rRNA from 1 species